rnacentral:rRNA from 1 species
UACGUAGGCAGCAAGCGUUGUUCGGAAUUACUGGGCGUAAAGAGUGUGUAGGCGGUGUUCUAAGUUUGGUGUGAAAUCUCCCGGCUCAACUGGGAGGGUGCGCCGAAAACUGGAAUGCUAGAGUAUGGGAGAGGUAAGCGGAAUUUCUGGUGUAGCGGUGAAAUGCGUAGAUAUCAGGAGGAACACCUGUGGUGUAGACAGCUUACUGGACCAUCACUGACGCUGAGACACGAAAGCGUGGGUAGCAAACAGG